rnacentral:rRNA from 1 species
UUAAGCUACUAAGGGCACAUGAAGGAUGCCUUGGCACGAUCAGGCGAUGAAGGACGUGGUAAGCUGCGAAAAGCUUCGGGGAACUGCACACGAGUUUUGAUCCGGAGAUAUCCGAAUGGGGAAACCCAGUGGAAGUAAUGUUCCACUAUCCCGUACUGAAUCCAUAGGUGCGGGAAGCGAGACGCGGGGAAGUGAAACAUCUCAGUACCCGCAGGAGAAGAAAUCAACCGAGAUUCCGCAAGUAGUGGCGAGCGAACGCGGAGAAGGCUAAACCGUCCGGUUUACCGGGCGGGGUUGCGGGACUUCAAUACGGCAAGACCAGUCGAUAGCGGAAGCUGUUGGAAAGCAGCGGCAUAGAAGGUGAUACCCCUGUAUGCGAAAUUGACUGUAAGCCCAGAAGGAUCCCAAGUAGGUCGGAACACGUGAAACUCUGACUGAAUCCGGGGGGCCCACCCUCCAAGCCUGAAUACUCGAUCGUGACCGAUAGCGCAUAGUACCGCGAGGGAAAGGUGAAAAAGUACCCCGGAAGGGGAGUGAAAAGUAUCUGAAAUCAUGUGUCUACAAAGUGUCGGAGCGAAAGCGACGGCAUGCCUUUUGCAUAAUGAGCCUGCGACUUACUCUAACGAGCGAGGUUAAGCCGAGUGCGGAGCCGAAGCGAAAGCGAGUGUGAAUAGCGCGUCUAGUUCGUUGGAGUAGACCCGAAGCUGAGUGAUCUAUCCAUGGCCAGGUUGAACCUGCAGUAACAUGCAGCGGAGGACCGAACCAGUUCAUGUUGAAAAAUGUUUGGAUGAGCUGUGGAUAGGGGUGAAAGGCCAAUCAAACUCAGUGAUAGCUGGUUCUCUUCGAAAUAGCUUUAGGGCUAGCCUUGCGUAAAUAGUUUGUGGGGGUAGAGCUACUGAUUGUUCGCGGGCCCUUACCGGGGUACCAAGAACUAUUAAACUCCGAAUACCAUGAACCGUACCGCAGGAGUCAGACUAUGGGGGAUAAGCUUCAUGGUCGAGAGGGAGACAGCCCAGACCGCCGGCUAAGGUCCCCAAUCCGGACUUAGUGGUUUGAAGGAUGUGAUGUUGCAUAAACAGCCAGGAUGUUGGCUUAGAGGCAGCCAUCAUUUAAAGAGUGCGUAAUAGCUCACUGGUCGAGUGAUAUCGCGCCGAAGAUGAUCGGGACUGAAGUCCAGAACCGAAGCCGCGGAUCGUGAAUUUAUUCACGGUGGUAGAAGAGCGUUGUAUGCGGGUCGAAGCCGAAGAGGGAUCUGAGGUGGACUGCAUACAAGUGACCAUGCAGGCAUGAGUAGCGAAAAACCGGAUGAGAAUUCCGGUCACCGAAAACCUAAGGUUUCCCGGGGAAGGUUCGUCCGCCCGGGGUUAGUCGGAACCUAAGGCGAGGCCGAAAGGCGUAGUCGAUGGAGGACAGGUUAAUAUUCCUGUACCACCUUGUUGGAGUGAUGGAGGGACGCAGUAAGUCAGGUGAGCCAACUGCUGAAUAUGUUGGUCGAAGGCCGUAGGGCGCACGAUAGGCAAAUCCGUCGUGCUUUCAACCCGAGAGUCGUAAGGUAGCCGAACGCAAGUUUGGCGAAUUCACUGUGACGACGCUGACGAGAAAAGCUUCUAAACGUUGAAAACAGGGUGUCCGUACCGAAACCGACACAGGUAGGUGAGGCGAGUAGCCUAAGGUGCGCGAGAGAAACCAACGUUAAGGAACUCGGCAAAUUGACCCCGUAACUUAGGGAUAAGGGGUGCCGCUUCAGGUGAAGGGACUUGCUCCCGGAGCCCAGAGCGGUUGCAACAAAGAGGCUGGUGCGACUGUUUAACAAAAACACAGCUCUAUGCUAACUCGCAAGAGGAUGUAUAUGGAGUGACACGUGACCAAUGCCAAAAGGUCAAUGGGAGAGGUUAGCGCAAGCGAAGCUUCGAUCUGAAGCCCUGGUGAAUGUCGGCCGUAACUAUAACGGUCCUAAGGUAGCGAAAUUCCUUGUCGGG